AACGAACGCUGGCGGCAGGCUUAACACAUGCAAGUCGAGCGCCUCGCAAGAGGAGCGGCAGACGGGUGAGUAACGCGUGGGAACGUACCCUUAUCUUCGGAAUAGCUCUGGGAAACUGGAAGUAAUACCGAAUGUGCCCUUAGGGGGAAAGAUUUAUCGGAUAAGGAUCGGCCCGCGUUGGAUUAGCUAGUUGGUGGGGUAAAGGCCUACCAAGGCGACGAUCCAUAGCUGGCCUGAGAGGAUGAUCAGCCACAUUGGGACUGAGACACGGCCCAAACUCCUACGGGAGGCAGCAGUGGGGAAUAUUGGACAAUGGGCGCAAGCCUGAUCCAGCCAUGCCGCGUGAGUGAUGAAGGCCUUAGGGUUGUAAAGCUCUUUCACCGGAGAAGAUAAUGACGGUAUCCGGAGGAGAAGCCCCGGCUAACUUCGU
rnacentral:rRNA from 1 species